GGGGAUUUAGCUCAGUGGUAGAGCGCUUGCCUAGCAAGGCAAGGCCCUGGGUUCGGUCCCCAGCUCCG
rfam:Rattus norvegicus chromosome 2, whole genome shotgun sequence.